rnacentral:rRNA from 1 species
GAACUUAAGCAUAUCAAUAAGCGGAGGAAAAGAAACUAACAAGGAUUCCCUUAGUAACUGCGAGUGAAGUGGGAUGAGCUCAAAUUUAAAAUCUGGUAGUCUUUGGCUGCCCGAGUUGUAAUCUAGAGAAGUGUUUUCUGUGCUGGACUGUGUUUAAGUUUCCUGGAUAUGGAACAUCAUAGAGGGUGAGAAUCCCGUCUUUGACGCAGACUGCCAGUACUUUGUGAUGCACUCUCAACGAGUCGAGUUGUUUGGGAUUGCAGCUCAAAAUGGGAGGUAAAUUCCUUCUAAAGCUAAAUAUUGGCGAGAGACCGAUAGCGAACAAGUACCGUGAGGGAAAGAUGAAAAGCACUUUGGAAAGAGAGUUAAACAGUACGUGAAAUUGUUAAAAGGGAAACAAUUGAAGUCAGUUGCAUCUACUUGGAUUCAGCCUUGCUUUGGUUUGGUGCAUUUCCUUGUGGAUGGGCCAGUGUUCAUGUUGAUUACUGGAAAAGGGGCUAGGGAAUGUGGCUCUUUUGGGAGUGUUAUAGCCUUGGCUCAUAUGCAGUAAUUAAUAUGGAGUGGUACAGCAUGCUUCGGU